GGGUGAGUAACGCGUGAGCAACCUGCCUAUGACAGUGGGAUAGCCUCGGGAAACCGGGAUUAAUACCGCAUAAAAUCGUAGAAACACAUGUUUUAGCGGUCAAAGAUUUAUCGGUCAUAGAUGGGCUCGCGUCUGAUUAGCUAGUUGGUGAGAUAACAGCCCACCAAGGCGACGAUCAGUAGCCGGUCUGAGAGGAUGAACGGCCACAUUGGAACUGAGACACGGUCCAA
rnacentral:rRNA from 1 species